rnacentral:lncRNA from 1 species
GGCAGAAGCAAUUAUUCCUGGCUUUUGUAACUCAACAUGCUGUGCUUGGCACUUUACAAUGUUUUCAUCAUCAUUGAGUUAUCAACAUUUAUCUCUAUCAGGGGAAAGGGAAGGCUGUCCAGUUACGAAGUUCUGGCAAUCACAUAGACCUGUUUACCGGUAUCUGUGCAGCUCCCUUCACUUGCUCAGAUGCAGGAGGAAGCCCCUCAGGCCCUAGGCCCUGUGCCUGAGUCUGGGCCCAUCUGAGAGGUAACAGAAAACCAAGGGGGAGAGGUGGUCUACCUCUGAGGUCUCAGGUUACAGGGCUAUGCUCUCAGGUUAUGUGGGAACUCAGGGCCCAUGGCCG